AAAUCAUGAUGUGGGCAUGUUCUCAAUAGUUCCCCGAAUCGCUCACACGCCUUAAAUAAGGAUUUUGCUUCAUAUUGUUAGAAGCAACAUAUCUCCGUCAUAAGCUU